rnacentral:rRNA from 1 species
AUUGAACGCUGGCGGAAUGCUUUACACAUGCAAGUCGAACGGCAGCACGGACUUCGGUCUGGUGGCGAGUGGCGAACGGGUGAGUAAUACAUCGGAACGUGCCCAGUCGUGGGGGAUAACGUAGCGAAAGCUACGCUAAUACCGCAUACGAUCUAAGGAUGAAAGCGGGGGAUCGCAAGACCUCGCGCGAUUGGAGCGGCCGAUGGCAGAUUAGGUAGUUGGCAGGGUAAAGGUCUACCAAGCCGAAGAUCUGUAGCUGGUCGGAGAGGAUGAUCAGCCACACUGGGACUGAGACACGGCCCAGACUCCUACGGGAGGCAGCAGUGGGGAAUUUUGGACAAUGGGCGCAAGCCUGAUCCAGCCAUUCCGCGUGCAGGGUGAAGGCCUUCGGGUUGUAAACUGCUUUUGUACAGAACGAAAAGGCUCUGGUUAAUACCCGGGGCUCAUGACGGUACUGUAAGAAUAAGCACCGGCUAACUACGUGCCAGCCGCCGCCGUAA